AAUCCCAGCUACUCAGGAGACUGAGGCAGGAGAAUCACUUGAACCUGGGAGGCAGAGGUUGCAGUGAGCCGAGAUUGCACCACUGCACUCCAGCCUGGGUGAUAGAGUGAGACUACGUCUUGGAAAAAAAAAAACCUCUGGGAUAUGAAACAAAGGGAUGAUUUGAACACUGGAUCUAAUGGUCUGUAAGGACGGGAGAGCAAACCCUUUGUAAAUCAGGUGGCGUCCAGCUCCUGCCUCUCACCAAAAGAGAAGGUGGACCUGAGCACAUCAUUCGCUGAUUGAGAAUUAAAUACAAUGUUUGAUGACAGCGCUCUGUGAUUUUUAAAAAAUAACUCAGAAAGCACUCAAAUAAAUGAGUGACACUAUAACACAAUUCUUUCCAUUCUCAGCUACUCACUCAUAGAUACAAGAUUUUUUAGUACUAUUUAGAAAAAUAAGUCAGAAUAGAAUUAAUGCUGAAUUGUUCAUUCAAGAAAUAAGUAGGCCGGGUGCGGUGGCUCACGCCUGUAAUCCCAGCACUUUUGGAGGCCAAGGCGGGUGGAUCACCUGAGGUUGUGAGUUCCAGACCAGCCUGACCAACAUGGAGAAACCGCGUCUCUACUGAAAACACACACAAAAAAUUAGGCGGGCGGGGUGGCGCAUGCCUGUAAUCCCAGCUACUUGGGAGGCUGAGGCAGGAGAAUCGCUUGAACCCAGGAGGUGGAGGUUGCGGUGAGCUGAGAUUGAACCAUUGCCCUCCAGCCUGGGCAACAAGAGCAAAACUCCAUCUCAAAAAAAAAAAAGAAGUAAGUAAUAUUCAGUUAUGGAUAUAUGGAUAUAUAAACUAACUGAAAAGAAAAAACAGCACCAUCCAUCUCAUUAAGAUAUACAUUUUCCAUAAAUUUUAUAUUUUAAAUUUUUUAUUUUUGUGGCAAGAUUUCAUAUCUUUAAUUUUUCUAAGUAUCAAAAUUUUGCUGUAUUUAUGUUUUCUCUUCACCAUAAACACAAUUGUCUGGUCAAUUGUGUGUUAACAGUAGCUAUAAUAUAACUAAAUCCAAAAGAAAUAUUUUAAUAUUUAGAGCCUUAAGUGCACUGAAAAUUUACCAAAAAUUUUUAUUUUUAUACACAGGCAAAGGCAGAGAAGCACAGUAAGGCUACCGAUAAAACUUUUCUUUUUUUCCACCCAGGAGUUCAGUGGCGCAAUCACAGCUCACCACAGCCUCGACUUCCUGGGCUCAGGUGAUCCUCCCACCUCAGCCUCUUGAGUAGCU
rnacentral:lncRNA from 1 species